rnacentral:lncRNA from 1 species
AUAAAAUAAAAAUAAAAAUAAAAAUAAAAUAAAAUAAAGGAAAAUUUUGGGUAUUACAACUCUCCCCCCUUUAAAGAAAUUUGGUCCCCCAAAUUUGCCUCUAACUCUUGGUCGAACAAAUGGGGAUACUGGACUCUAAAGUCUGAUUCUAGCUCCCAGGUAGCCUCCCUUGGCGAGUGGUUUUGCCACACUACCUUUACAAAUGAUAUUUCCCGGUUGCGGAGUAUUAUGCUCUUUUGGUCCAUGAUACCGACUGAUACUUCCUC